rnacentral:lncRNA from 1 species
CCGAAUCUUUCUAAACGUUUCGGUAAAGCAAGUCACCCCUUUCGCCAGCAUCCCCAGGAGACCUUGUGUAAAGUCCGAGAUUUCUGCCACUGAUUAUCUAAGGACAGUUUAGGACACAGACUUCAAGCAGGAGAAACCUGGGCUAUAGUCCUUGCUUUGUCACUAGCCAGUUGUGUGACUUUGGGCAAAUUAAUCUCUCUAGACCUGUUUCUUCAAUCUAUAAGACUACAAACAGCGGAACCCUCUGUUGGUUGCUAUGGGGAAGGGGAGGUGCAGUAAGAAUACAGAAGAAUGAACUUCUCUCCAGGUGGAGAGCGGAGAGCUUGUUGCACAGAACCUGCCUCCCUCUUGCUGGGCACUGCCUCUCAGAAGCAAUGCUGCGUGGCGAGGCGAGAACUCGACCAGAGGAGCUGGAUCUUCCAUGAAGGACAGCGUUUCCACUGUCUCUCCUAGGCUGGAAAAAUCUCCUGUGUGUCUCCACACGUAUCCUCUGCCCUCCUGUCCCUGAGUUAUACUCCAUUUUGCUGCCAGAGUGAUCUUUUCAAAACCCAGAUCUGGUUGUUGCAAAAUACACAUCCUCCACCACCACCAUCAUCACAGCUGAGACCCUUCAGAGGCCUUCUAGUGCUCUGAGCAGAAGAAUCAAACUGGAGUGCCCAGGGCAGGGCGUGGUCUGGCCCUGGCAGCCCUCCCUAGCCUCAUUCCAUCACUCCACCUAAUGGGACUGGCCUCUCCCACCACCAUGCGAUCUCAUACUCUCUCCUGCCAAAAGGCCUGUGCACACACUGUUCCCUCUGCCUGGGACACUCUUCUCUCCGAU